GGAAUAUUGGGCAAUGGGCGAAAGCCUGACCCAGCGACGCCGCGUGAGGGAAGAAGGUCUUCGGAUUGUAAACCUUAGUUGGCAGGGAAGAAGAAAGUGACGGUACCUGCAGAGAAAGCCACGGCUAACUACGUGCCAGCAGCCGCGGUAAUACGUAGGUGGCGAGCGUUAUCCGGAUUUACUGGGUGUAAAGGGUGUGUAGGCGGGGAUGCAAGUCAGAUGUGAAAACUAUGGGCUCAACUCAUAGCCUGCAUUUGAAACUGUAUUUCUUGAGGGUCGGAGAGGUAAGUGGAAUUCCCGGUGUAGCGGUGAAAUGCGUAGAUAUCGGGAGGAACAUCUGUGGCGAAGGCGACUUACUGGACGAUUACUGACGCUGAGACACGAAAGCGUGGGGAGCAAACA
rnacentral:rRNA from 1 species